UAAUCUGGUUCAUAAUAGAAACGUUUUUCCCCCGAAGGGUAAAAAACGUAUAUUUAGGUUUCAGCCGAAAGGCUUGACCCACUUGAGAUAACCCUUUAGAACAUCAGCGCCAUCUAGUAGUUCGUAACGACACAACCCGAGCAUUGAUCCGUAUCGGCUCGGUGAUUUGUGGAGGGGAGUCAGCGCACAGGCAGGUGGUGUCGGCCAUUUUAAUUUCAGUACCGAUUUCAGGAAUCGAAGCGAGGUGAAGCCGGUAAGGUAUUUAAUGGUGGGUCAAGCCUUUCGGCUGAAACCUAAAUAUACGUUUUUUACCCUUCGGGGGAAAAACGUUUCUAUUUAGGUGUUCGAGCCUUUAGGCUUGACCCACUUGAGAUGUUUAAUAUCUGCCGGCGCUGACUUAGCGUACUGUGACUAUGUAUGGAGUAUGAUUCACUUAAAGAUUAUGUUCCAUUUAGGAAUGAGAAAAUCAGAUAUUAUUUUCUUAGUGAUUAAUAUAAAUCUUUCAUCGUAAUCACUAACAUA